rnacentral:tRNA from 1 species
UGGCCUCCACGGUCGGCGUGUCCGGGUUCGUCGCACCCGACGGGCGGGUAAGCGAUGCCACCGGGUUCAACACCCGGGAGGUCGU